rnacentral:rRNA from 1 species
GAUGAACGCUAGCUACAGGCUUAACACAUGCAAGUCGCAGGGUAACAUGAGGAAAGCUUGCUUUCCUUGAUGCCGACUGGCGCACGGGUGAGUAACGCGUAUCCAACCUUCCCAUAACUACGGGAUAACCCGUUGAAAGACGGCCUAAUACCGUAUGAUAUCGUUUGCUGACAUCAAAUAACGAUUAAAGGUUUAGCGGUUAUGGAUGGGGAUGCGUCUGAUUAGCUUGUGGGCGGGGUAACGGCCCACCAAGGCGACGAUCAGGAGGGGUUCUGAGGGGAAGGUCCCCCAGAAUGGAACUAAGACACAGACCAAACUCCGACGGAAGGCAGCAGUGAGGAAUAUUAGUCAAUGGGCGAGAGCCUGACCCAGCCAAGUAGCGUGCAGGAUGACGGCCCUAGGGGUUGUAAACUGCUUUGAUGUGGGGAUAAAGUGCGUGACGUGUCAUGCAUUGCAGGUACCAAAUGAAUAAGGACCGGCUAAUUCCGUG